GACAUAAUCCGUGGGGUUAUUGUAAAAUCUGGCUCUGAGAGAGAGAGAGAGAGAGAGAGGUGUAAAAUCCAUUCAGUCUCUAUCUGAUGCUAAUGCUAAUCCCGCUGCCUCUGUGGUUAGGCUGGGAUAAAGGACGUUGAAAAGGCCAUCCAGCUGGCCAGAAACAACAGGCAACUUCUCCUCCAGUCCUUGAAUGCAACACAGACCGUGCAGGAUGAAUCACGCCAGCCCAAGGGGACCGCAAGAAUCGGGGAAGAGGUAUUUGACAUGCACAACAACACGUCCUCUUGUGGAGCAGAUGAUUACAUUUCAUUGUCAUUAGUAAUUAUGCCUAUGCCCAAUAUCACACCAGUGGAGAAAUCAGUCUUGGAAGCAAGUACCAUGACUAAUAAAGAAAAGGUUCCUCCUCCUCCCGCUGCUGCUGCUGCUGCUAGGCCCAAGACCCAGAGCUUUCAGCAGCUGAACAAGUCUGGCGUGUGGUCGAAGUUAGUGGACGAAGCUGUGGCUGUGCUCCAAGAGGGGGCCAGGAGGAUCUUUCUACCUGAGGACAAGAGCAAAGCGGGAGGCCCUCAGGACAAGGACAAAGAGAGACGCCUUGAGGACAAUGCCAAAGAGGGACGCCCUCAGGACAAUGCCAAAGAGGGACGCCUUGAGGACAAGUCCAAAGAGGGAGACCUUCAGGGCAAGACUGAAGACGGGCGUCCUGAUGUCAAGACCAAAGAGGAAGCCCUUGUUGGUGUGGAUGGACAGGAAAUGCAGAACAAAGACAAAGCUGAGGGACAGCACAAAACGAAAGCCUCAGUGAAGAAGUCAAAGGGGAAGAAAAAGGCGGCAGCACUCAACUCCGGAGUUCCAUCUCUGAAGGUCUGAGUCACACAGGAACGAAGCAGUGGCGAGUUGGAGCUGGUUAUCUUGCAGCACAGACAGCGGAGUGUGUGCUGCACACCGCAGGAUGUGGGAGGCGUGUUUGUGACGAGACCUGCUCCGCUCUACACCUUGGAAAGGCCACUUCCUGCCCCGUGUCACAAAAUAUACACAAAUAGACUUCUUUAUUUACAACAUGCGAACAAAUUUUUUUUGUUUUUCUCUCUGCUAACAAACUAUAAAGUCUACUAAAGAAUUAAGAAAUUGCAUAGGCUAUGUGAGGCUAAGAGAAUACAGCAUAUAUAUCAGACCUAUAGAGAGUAUUCUAUUUAUUUUACAUUAUCAGAACAGCGAAGCAAUGUACAAGCACUGAUGUUAAAGAUUAUCUCUGAAAUGUACUACAGAAACUGAACUGAGAUAUGUGUACAAGAUUCCAGUGAAAUAACUGUCUCUGAUUGGUGAAUGCACCUACAACUCCUGUGGCCAAUAGCACCGUGGAAACAGACCCAUUGGAAACAUAACAGCAGGCACUGGAAAUAUGACAAUAGGCACUGGAAAUAUGACAGUAGGCACUGAAAAUAUGACAAAGGCACUGGAAAUAUGACAAAGGCACUGGAAAUAUGACAACAGGCACUAGACAUUUGACAGCAGGCACUAUAAAGUGACCAGUGGAAAUGUGAGUAAUAUGAUACAUUUCACUGUCGCUAGUAGAAAUGCUUUUGGCAGAGAAAAUUAUUUGGCAGAUGCUUUUGUCCAAAGUGAAAGCUUUUUAACCAUACAAAUGAUGAACUCAGCGUGAUACAAACUUUAGCAGAUAUCAAUGGUAUGUGAAUCCCAAUUGAUCUCUCUCUUAAUUGUCUUCUGUCUGAUUUGAGGACCACAUGUUUGUGCCGUUAACUAUGGAAAAAGAGAGAGAGAGAGAGAGUGAGAGAGAGAGAGCAGAAGAGAGAAGAAGAGAGGGUGUUAAGGUGUCAGUAGGUGUUAGUCAGACACUAACUGAGACUUGGUUGUCUCUCACAUAAUCUCAAAUAUUGGGACAUCCAACCCACAAUAAGCGUUCAAACUUUCUGUUGUAAUUAAAUCAUUGCAGUUGUGUUAAAAUGUCUGACCUGUUCUAUGAGUCUUCUUCUUUCUGCACACGCAUAUAGUCACGGCCAGACUAAUCAGAAGCCCCAAAGACACGGGUAUGAUGACAUCUGUGGACCAAAUACAUGUCAACAUUCCUGUUCAUUACAUUGACUCAUUGAGCAGAUGUCUUUAAUCAAAUCGACUUCCAGUAUGGUACAGAUACAUAGAGACAUUCAUCAGUGUGUGCGCCGCCUGGGUAGGGAACCCACGACUCGGUGGUGUUACCCCCUUUUGCCUUACCAGUUGAGCUUCAGGUUCACUAUGUUCCCUGCUAAAGCAUUUAAGUUCCUAAGUAACAAUCCUCAUAGAAAUAUAUUUACUGUUCUAGAUAUUUUGACUCAUUAAAUACCAAAUAAAUAUACAGAGUAUAUAGUCUGCA
rnacentral:lncRNA from 1 species